rnacentral:rRNA from 1 species
CUGGCUCAGGAUGAACGCUAGCUACAGGCUUAACACAUGCAAGUCGAGGGGCAGCAUUGGGAUAGCUUGCUAUUCAGAUGGCGACCGGCGCACGGGUGAGUAACGCGUAUCCAACCUUCCUGCCAGUAGGGAACAGCCCGGCGAAAGUCGGAUUAAUGCCCUAUGUUCUUCAAUGCGGACAUCUAAGUUGAAGGAAAGAUUCAUCGCUGGCAGAUGGGGAUGCGUCCGAUUAGCUUGCCGGCGGGGUAACGGCCCACCGGGGCGACGAUCGGUAGGGGUUCUGAGAGGAAGGUCCCCCACACUGGUACUGAGACACGGACCAGACUCCUACGGGAGGCAGCAGUGAGGAAUAUUGGUCAAUGGGCGUAAGCCUGAACCAGCCAAGUAGCGUGCAGGAAUGACGGCCCUACGGGUUGUAAACUGCUUUUAUGCGGGGAUAAAGUGCGGCACGUGUGCCGCUUUGCAGGUACCGCAUGAAUAAGGACCGGCUAAUUCCGUGCCAGCAGCCGC